rnacentral:rRNA from 1 species
AUUGAACGCUGGCGGCAGGCCUAACACAUGCAAGUCGAGCGGAUGAAGGGAGCUUGCUCCUGGAUUCAGCGGCGGACGGGUGAGUAAUGCCUAGGAAUCUGCCUGGUAGUGGGGGAUAACGUCCGGAAACGGGCGCUAAUACCGCAUACGUCCUGAGGGAGAAAGUGGGGGAUCUUCGGACCUCACGCUAUCAGAUGAGCCUAGGUCGGAUUAGCUAGUUGGUGGGGUAAAGGCCUACCAAGGCGACGAUCCGUAACUGGUCUGAGAGGAUGAUCAGUCACACUGGAACUGAGACACGGUCCAGACUCCUACGGGAGGCAGCAGUGGGGAAUAUUAGACAAUGGGCGAAAGCCUUAUCCAGCCAUGCCGCGUGUGUGAAGAAGGUCUUCGGAUUGUAAAGCACUUUAAGUUGGGAGGAAGGGCAGUAAGUUAAUACCUUGCUGUUUUGACGUUACCAACAGAAUAAGCACCGGCUAACUUCGUG